rnacentral:rRNA from 1 species
UACGUAGGGGGCGAGCGUUGCUCGGAAUUACUGGGCGUAAAGGGUGUGUAGGUGGCUGAUCAAGUCAAAGAUGAAAUCCCGAGGCUCAACUUCGGAAUUGCCUUUGAAACUGGUCGGCUUGAGGCUAGUUGAGGAGAGCGGAAUUCCCGGUGGAGCGGUGAAAUGCGUAGAUAUCGGGAGGAACACCUGAGGCGUAGGCGGUUCUCUAAGCUAGUCCUGACACUGAGACACGAAAGCUAGGGGAGCAAACGGG